rnacentral:rRNA from 1 species
GAUGAACGCUGGCGGCGUGCCUAAUACAUGCAAGUCGAGCGAACAGACGAGGAGCUUGCUCCUCUGACGUUAGCGGCGGACGGGUGAGUAACACGUGGAUAACCUACCUAUAAGACUGGGAUAACUUCGGGAAACCGGAGCUAAUACCGGAUAAUAUAUUGAACCGCAUGGUUCAAUAGUGAAAGACGGUUUUGCUGUCACUUAUAGAUGGAUCCGCGCCGCAUUAGCUAGUUGGUAAGGUAACGGCUUACCAAGGCAACGAUGCGUAGCCGACCUGAGAGGGUGAUCGGCCACACUGGAACUGAGACACGGUCAAGACUACUACGGGAGGCAGCAGUAGGGAAUCGUCCGCAAUGGGCGAAAGCCUGACGGAGCAACGCCGCGUGAGAGAUGAAGGUCUUCGGAUCGUAAAACUCGGUUAUUGGGGAAGAACAAAUGUGUAAGUAACUAUGCACGUCUUGACGGUACCUAGUCAGAAAGCCACGGCUAACUACGUG